GUGGGGAAUCUUGCGCAAUGGGCGAAAGCCUGACGCAGCCAUGCCGCGUGAAUGAUGAAGGUCUUAGGAUUGUAAAAUUCUUUCACCGGGGACGAUAAUGACGGUACCCGGAGAAGAAGCUCCGGCUAACUUCGUGCCAGCAGCCGCGGUAAUACGAAGGGGGCUAGCGUUGCUCGGAAUUACUGGGCGUAAAGGGCGCGUAGGCGGACAGCUUAGUCAGAGGUGGAAGCCCAGGGCUCAACCUUGGAAUUGCCUUUGAUACUGGCUGUCUUGAGUUUGGGAGAGGUGAGUGGAACUCCGAGUGUAGAGGUGAAAUUCGUAGAUAUUCGGAAGAACACCAGUGGCGAAGGCGACUCACUGGCCCAAUACUGACGCUGAGGCGCGAAAGCGUGGGGAGCAAACAGGAUUAGAAACCCCUGUAGUCC
rnacentral:rRNA from 1 species